GGGGAAGGCCAGGCAGAGGCGCUCUUGGGAAGAGGGCGAGGUUCUCCGGACAGUGGGCGGGACUAGAGAGGCCACCUGCAGACACACCCUGGCUUCUCCUGGUCCCUCUUCCCUCCCUUCCCCCUCGGGGCACAGAGACGAUCCACACGUGGGGUCUCCGAGCUCUAGGGUCCUUUUACGUAGCAUAGUCAGGCCUGGGAUCAGAACGUCAUGUUCUUGCUAAAAGUCUCGGUGUGUCCUAGUUGUUUUAGAGACUUGGAGAGGAAUGGGGGUAAAAAAAAACCCCAAAACCCGAGAACUAUCGCGCCAAGAGAAGUCAGGAUUCUAGGAAGCCUAGGACGCCAAACAAAUGGAGACCAAAAAACAAGACGGGAGGACUGGAGACGAAGCAGGCAAAAAGUCAUCAGCCACGGCUGUUGUACGGUGUGUUUCACCUCUCCUACCAAGCCUUCAUCCCUGUCUAUGAGGACGAAGAAGUUACCGGGGAAAUUGGUGAUGGGCCUGGCUGUCCUGGAGAAUGCUCUUGAUUAAGGUAGGCCAUGGAACGAAUGGGGACAUUAGAAAUAGCAUAUUUCCAUGGUUUUGAGUAGUAUGCGAAAGUGACCCAUGCCUUCUUCAGCCGACUGUGGGCAAGCAGGUGGUGAGAAAUGCCGUGCCGGCUAGGUUGAGCUGUCUGCAGUGAAGUAAUAGUUUCUAAGGGAUUUACCUGUGUAAAGAUGGUGCAUUGUUUCUGAAGUUAGAAUUGUAGAAUUGUACCACAGAUAGGGUAGCCCAGAGCCCUAGAAAUCUUAAGGUAUAAGAAUGUCGUAGUCACAUACAUUUUGCUUUACAUUAAGAGACUACAUCUAGCCAGAAGGUGAGUGGAAACCUAAAGUAGUAGUACCUCCCUGGGUCCCAGGAAUUCAGAAAUGACAGAUUGCAGCUAUGGCUAACUGACAUAUUCUUCAAGCAUUAUAUUCGUGUCAGUUCAAAUGGUAUCUCUAAAUGAAAGGUUCAAAGGAAAGAAACAGUUCAGUAACGGCACAGUGGACCCCCAUCUUUACCUUAGCAGAGAGUCCUAAGUUCAGCAGUGCUGAAGUUAAACAAGUACAGUUCAAUACUUCCAUUAUGCCCCGUGCCUUAAGUGAGCAGGGACAUGAAAACAAAGGCAUUCUUACAACUCACUUUGGGCGGAGAUUUACAGAACUGUACAAGCUCUAACCAGAAAAGCAACGCUGUUUAUUGAUUCACCA
rnacentral:lncRNA from 1 species